rnacentral:ncRNA from 1 species
GCAAAACCGAUGAGAAAGAAGAGUAGGUUUUAAAAGAGAUCACAGAGAGCAGCAGGCGGUGAGAUUGCUGUAUGGAUUUUAAUUCUGAAUGGACUUUCGAGGGCGGCCUGAAAUGAAAAGAGUAGGCGUCGUCGGGAACCGAACCCGUUAUCAAUCAGGAGCGUAUGUCAGUACGUGAGAAAGUGGACAUUUGUCAAUUUGAGUGGUACCGCGAUAAUGAAUUUGUAUUUAUUACCGUCUCAAGC